CUCGUAGUUGGAGUUCAGAUUGAGCUCGGCCGGUCGGCCUAAUUGGUCAGAACUGGUUGACUCUGUCUUGUUUGUGGAUCCCUCCGGAGUUAACUCUUCGGAUGUGGAGUCCACAUCGUUUACCUUGAAAAAAUUAGAGUGUUCAAAGCAGGCGUUUGCUUGAAUAUAUUAGCAUGGAAUAAUGGAAUAGGACGCUGGUUCUAUUUUGUUGGUUUUGAGAACCAGAGUAAUGAUUAAUAGGGACAGUUGGGGGCAUUCAUAUUUCAUUGUCAGAGGUGAAAUUCUUGGAUUUAUGAAAGAUGAACUUCUGCGAAAGCAUUUGCCAAGGAUGUUUUCAUUAAUCAAGAACGAAAGUUAGGGGAUCGAAGACGAUCAGAUACCGUCGUAGUCUUAACCAUAAACUAUGCCGACUAGGGAUUGGACGUGGUUUGUUCAUUGACCCGUUCAGCACCUUACGAGAAAUCAAAGUCUUUGGGUUCCGGGGG
rnacentral:rRNA from 1 species